GAUGAACGCUGGCGGCGUGCCUAAUACAUGCAAGUCGAACGCACAGCGAAAGGUGCUUGCACCUUUCAAGUGAGUGGCGAACGGGUGAGUAACACGUGGACAACCUGCCUCAAGGCUGGGGAUAACAUUUGGAAACAGAUGCUAAUACCGAAUAAAACUCAGUGUCGCAUGACACAAAGUUAAAAGGCGCUUUGGCGUCACCUAGAGAUGGAUCCGCGGUGCAUUAGUUAGUUGGUGGGGUAAAGGCCUACCAAGACAAUGAUGCAUAGCCGAGUUGAGAAACUGAUCGGCCACAUUGGGACUAAGACACGGCCCAAACUCCUACGGGAGGCUGCAGUAGGGAAUCUUCCACAAUGGGCGAAAGCCUGAUGGAGCAACGCCGCGUGUGUGAUGAAGGCUUUCGGGUCGUAAAGCACUGUUGUAUGGGAAGAAAUGCUAAAAUAGGGAAUGAUUUUAGUUUGACGGUACCAUACCAGAAAGGACGGCUAAAUACGUGCCAGCCGCCGCCGUAA
rnacentral:rRNA from 1 species